rnacentral:rRNA from 1 species
GAUGAACGCUAGCGGCAGGCUUAACACAUGCAAGUCGAGGGGUAUAGGAAGCUUGCUUCCUAGAGACCGGCGCACGGGUGCGUAACGCGUAUGCAAUCUACCUUUUGCAGAGGGAUAGCCCAGAGAAAUUUGGAUUAAUACCUCAUAGUAUGUGAGAAUGGCAUCAUUUUCACAUUAAAGUCACAACGGCAAAAGAUGAGCAUGCGUCCCAUUAGCUUGUUGGUAAGGUAACGGCUUACCAAGGCAACGAUGGGUAGGGGGCCUGAGAGGGAGAUCCCCCACACUGGUACUGAGACACGGACCAGACGCCUACGGGAGGCAGCAGUGAGGAAUAUUGGACAAUGGGCGAAAGCCUGAUCCAGCCAUGCCGCGUGCAGGAUGACGGUCCUAUGGAUUGUAAACUGCUUUUGUACAGGAAGAAACACUGGUUCGUGAACCAGCUUGACGGUACUGUAAGAAUAAGGAUCGGCUAACUCCGUGCCAGCCGCCGCCGUACAC